rnacentral:rRNA from 1 species
AUGGCGACCGGCGCACGGGUGAGUAACGCGUAUCCAACCUGCCCUUUACUAUGGGACAGCCCGUCGAAAGGCGGAUUAAUACCGUAUGUUGUCAUGUUGAUGCAUAUUUUCAUGACCAAAGGCUUCGGCCGGUAAAGGAUGGGGAUGCGUCUGAUUAGCUUGCCGGCGGGGUAACGGCCCACCGGGGCGACGAUGGAUAGGGGUUCUGAGAGGAAGGUCCCCCACAUUGGAACUGAGACACGGUCCAAACUCCUACGGGAGGCAGCAG